AUUGAACGCUGGCGGCAUGCUUUACACAUGCAAGUCGAACGGUAACAGGCCGCAAGGUGCUGACGAGUGGCGAACGGGUGAGUAAUGCAUCGGAACGUGCCCAGUCGUGGGGGAUAACUACUCGAAAGAGUAGCUAAUACCGCAUACGAUCUAUGGAUGAAAGCGGGGGACCGUAAGGCCUCGCGCGAUUGGAGCUGCCGAUGUCAGAUUAGGUAGUUGGUGGGGUAAAUGCUCACCAAGCCAACGAUCUUUAGCUGGUCUGAGAGGACGACCAGCCACACUGGGACUGAGACACGGCCCAGACUCCUACGGGAGGCAGCAGUGGGGAAUUUUGGACAAUGGGCGCAAGCCUGAUCCAGCAAUGCCGCGUGCAGGAAGAAGGCCUUCGGGUUGUAAACUGCUUUUGUACGGAACGAAACGGCUCUGGUUAAUACCCGGGGCUAAUGACGGUACCGUAAGAAUAAGCACCGGCUAACUACGUG
rnacentral:rRNA from 1 species